rnacentral:rRNA from 1 species
UCGAGUCUUUGAACGCAAGUUGCGCCCGAGGCCAACCGGCCGAGGGCACGUCCGCCUGGGCGUCAAGCGUUGCAUCGCUCCGCGCCAACUCCGUCCCAUCGAUGGGUGGGCCCGCGCAGGCUCGGAUGUGGAGAGUGGCUCUUCUUGCCCAUGGGUGCG